GAUGAACGCUAGCGGGAGGCUUAAUACAUGCAAGUCGAGGGGUAACAGUGGAGCUUGCUCCAGCUGACGACCGGCGCACGGGUGAGUAACGCGUACACAAUCUGCCCUUAAGUGAGGAAUAGCCCUGGGAAACUGGGAUUAAUACCUCAUAAUAUUCUAACACCGCAUGAUGUUGGAAUUAAAGCUCCGGCGCUUAAGGAUGAGUGUGCGUCCCAUUAGCUAGUUGGUAAGGUAACGGCUUACCAAGGCAACGAUGGGUAGGGGGCGUGAGAGCGUGAUCCCCCACACGGGUACUGAGACACGGACCCGACUCCUACGGGAGGCAGCAGUAAGGAAUAUUGGACAAUGGGCGAAAGCCUGAUCCAGCCAUCCCGCGUGCAGGAAGACGGCCCUAUGGGUUGUAAACUGCUUUUAUUUGAGAAGAAACCCCCUGAUUUAUCAGGGGCUGACGGUAUCUUAUGAAUAAGCACCGGCUAACUCCG
rnacentral:rRNA from 1 species